GACGAACGCUGGCGGCGUGCUUAACACAUGCAAGUCGAACGGAAAGGCCCUGCUUGCAGGGUACUCGAGUGGCGAACGGGUGAGUAACACGUGGGUGAUCUGCCCUGCACUUCGGGAUAAGCCUGGGAAACUGGGUCUAAUACCGGAUAGGAGCCAUUUUUAGUGUGAUGGUUGGAAAGUUUUUUCGGUGUAGGAUGAGCUCGCGGCCUAUCAGCUUGUUGGUGGGGUAAUGGCCUACCAAGGCGGCGACGGGUAGCCGGCCUGAGAGGGUGGACGGCCACAUUGGGGCUGAGAUACGGCCCAGACUCCCACGGGAGGCAGCAGUGGGGAAUAUUGCACAAUGGGCGCAAGCCUGAUGCAGCGACGCCGCGUGGGGGAUGACGGCCUUCGGGUUGUAAACUCCUUUCGCUAGGGACGAAGCUUUUUGUGACGGUACCUAGAUAAGAAGCACCGGCUAACUACGUG
rnacentral:rRNA from 1 species